GACAGAGGGUGCAAACGUUGUUCGGAAUUACUGGGCGUAAAGCGCGUGUGGGCGGCCCUGCAAGUCGGGUGUGAAAUCCCACGGCUCAACCGUGGAAGUGCACUCGAAACUGCAGGGCUAGAGUCCUGGAGAGGAAGGUGGAAUGCUUGGUGUAGAGGUGAAAUUCGUAGAUAUCAAGCGGAACACCGGUGGCGAAGGCGGCCUUCUGGACAGUGACUGACGCUGAGACGCGAAAGCGUGGGGAGCAAACAGG
rnacentral:rRNA from 1 species